UACGAAGGUGGCUAGCGUUGUUCGGAAUCACUGGGCGUAAAGCGCACGUAGGCGGCUCGUUAAGUCAGAGGUGAAAGCCUGGAGCUCAACUCCAGAACUGCCUUUGAUACUGGCGAGCUCGAGUAUGGCAGAGGUUGGUGGAACUCCGAGUGUAGAGGUGAAAUUCGUAGAUAUUCGGAAGAACACCAGUGGCGAAGGCGGCCAACUGGGCCAUUACUGACGCUGAGGUGCGAAAGCGUGGGGAGCAAACAGG
rnacentral:rRNA from 1 species